rnacentral:lncRNA from 1 species
GAGUGACGCGUCAAUGAGGGAAACAGACAACGUAUGCCACAACAUACCCUUCGCCACGUACUGAUCACUGGUGAUAAGGUCAACGUUGCCAGCAUACACUUCUCAUACUGAAAAGCUCACCCAAGCAUCACUGGUCAAGCUCAACUGGAACAACAGUGAACAGACCAGCAGUGUGCUAGCCUUUGAAGAAUUCUUUUUUUUUUUUGCUGAGAAUGGCAACCAGCGCACUCCACCAACAACGAGAAGUGGAAGCACUUUCAAUACUUCUAUAAUGUCUGUCAAACGAGGAUAUUUGAGGAAGACAAAAAACAAAGAAAAAGUCACACUUUGCUGUUGCUACCUACACUACGAAAUUACACGGGUGUUCCAUGAUAAAACUGCUUUGAAAGGUUUCUUGAACCAAUACAUAGCAGUGACCGAAAUUCCUUGCCCAAUUCUACAAGCAUCAUGCACGUGCUAUACCGGGACACAGAAAACAUGGCCACCAUGUCAAAGGUGGUCCUGUUUUAACCCACGCACUUGCAGUGCAGCCGUUUGAAUAGGUG